CAUCUUUUUGCCUUGCCUUAUCCAGCGGACUGCUGCUGUUCCAUACUCCAUAACCACUCCUUGCACAGCUCCGUGAAAGAGUGAGGUCCGCCGCUCGGCGCCGUAGCUGACGGCCAGAAGGGAGCUGUCGCGGCUAGCGCCGCCCGCCUCUGCGCCGCACGGGGCUGUAUCCUUGGCCGGUGGGAAGACGGGGCCCGUCGCGGCUAGCUCCGCCCGCCUCCGGCGCAUCCAAGGCUGUGGCCGACCCGCUCCCUCGUAGAAGGCGGAACCACAACGCGGCCCCCCAGUCGGCGGGCCCGGCCGUGGCCGGUGGCGAGAUGCCGCCGGAGGUCGUUGGGUCACACUUGAAGAAGGCGUGAGCUCGAUGCAUCUCAACAGGCAAAGAGCGAAACAAAUGCACUGGAAAGAUGGAGCAGUUGCCGACCCAGUCGGCCGAGUCCACCGGUAAGGAGAACCCGGAGGCACCGGGAUGGACAAGAAGGUUACAAAUUGGGCGUGCCCCUCCGGAUAGAGGACCCUGUGCUGGUAGAGUCACUCAUUUAGAGGAAACAAUAAGGAGAUACGCUGAUAAACAGUCGGAUAAUGUAAUAAAGCAUACGAUUUCACCGUCAAGAAAGAUAUUGAUUAGUUGCUGGUAAUUUUUGAUUCCCUUGGAGAAGCAUACGAUUUCUAUAACUUGUAUUCUUGGGAGGUUGGAUUUGAUAUAAGAUAUGGCAAGAGUCGUUUGAACGUCGAGCGGACAAAGUGUUUGCAAGAGAUCGUCUGUGGAUGCUCGGGAAAACCAGAGCAACAGAAUAGCCGGUCUUGCCGCUGCGAGUGCCCUGCGAUGACACAGGAGGCAAGAGAAAGGAGUCCCUGACUCAGUCCGUGGAAUCUUCUGGGAAAGUGAACCCAGAGGCACCAGGAUGGACUAAGAGGGAAUUACUGUAACGUAACUAUCCGGGCAUCACAUCACUCCUACUGUGUUUAAGUUGGUCUUAUGGAGCAUAGAUGCUGUCAAAAAAUGUGAGAUCAGAGAGGUACUUGAUGCAGCAUAGGUUACCACAUACGUUGUGUCUAAGAAGGAAAGAAUGGAUAAAAAGAUCAAAGUGCGCACAGAGUCAAAGGAAAGUAUGCUUCGCAGUAUCAGUUGUUCUUGCCGUAAAUUGGAAUGCGCAGGCACACCAUGUUCCCACAUAUUUUACAUAUUGGGAAUUUUACAAGAAGAAACACUGCCCAUGUGUUGUGUUCCCACUAGGUGGACAAUGAGUGCAAAAUGUGCAUUCGCACCGACCAGAAAGAGCAAGAUGUAUGCAUACUCUCCAGCCCUACAAAGCUACCGUAAGCUAAGGAAUUUUAGUCACGCAAGCAUGUUUCAAGGCAUGCCACUCUGAUGAGCCGUUUCAGCAUCUAAAAAGGGUUUUCAAAGGACAAGAUGUUUGCAAGGGAUCAACAAGUGAACAAGCUGAUAGCAAGGGAUCAACUAAUGCUCAGGGUAAAAACAUUAGGUUUGGCCCGUUGAUGCCACAAUUGGCUAACCUUGAUGGUGAAGGUUUCAAAAAGAUUCUGGAUCCCGUGCAUGUGCCAGGCCGAGGUGCUCCGAAGAAAAGGCUCCAUGCAAAGAUGAAGAAAACUAGAACAAAGGGUAGAUGUAGCUAUUGUGAUGAGGCAGAUGAUCACAAUCGACGUACGUGCGCCAAAUUGAUAGAGGAUCUCAAAGCAGAACUAUGAUAGCUACAACAUUGUGCGCAUGGUCGGACAGCAAGUACGUCGCCGAUCAACCUGAUGUUGGCGUGUGCAUUGUCGUCUAUGUCUAGUAUCGUGUGACCUGUUCUGUAAAAUACUUCAUUCUGUCAGUUAGUGACUUCCUCAUAAUGUAUGACUCAGCUAUUUGGUUGUCCACUCCCUUGUAAGCAGUAUUAGUUUGGGAUAUUUUUUGCAUUUUAUAUGUGAGUUUUUCAAGUGCAACCUCAAGAAUCAUGGUUUCUUCA